rnacentral:rRNA from 1 species
AAUCCUACGGGACGCAGCAGUGAGGAAUAUUGGUCAAUGGGCGAGAGCCUGAACCAGCCAAGUCGCGUGAGGGAUGACUGCCCUAUGGGUUGUAAACCUCUUUUGUAUGGGGGGAAUAAGCUUUACGAGUAGAGUGAUGACAGUACCAUACGAAUAAGCAUCGGCUAAAUCCGUGCCAGCAGCCGCGGUAAUACGGAGGAUGCGAGCGAUAUCCGGAGUUAUUGGGUUUAAAGGGUGCGUAGGCGGCAUUAUAAGUUAGUGGUAGAAUAUUG